rnacentral:rRNA from 1 species
UACAGAGGUCUCAAGCGUUGUUCGGAUUCAUUGGGCGUAAAGGGUGCGUAGGCGGCGCGGUAAGUCGGGUGUGAAAUCUCGGAGCUUAACUCCGAAACUGCAUUCGAUACUGCCGUGCUUGAGGACUGGAGAGGAGACUGGAAUUUACGGUGUAGCGGUGAAAUGCGUAGAUAUCGUAAGGAAGACCAGUGGCGAAGGCGGGUCUCUGGACAGUUCCUGACACUGAGAGACGAAAGCUAGGGGAGCAAAUGGG